GCUUAAGUAGUUUAAUAGGUUAAAAAUACCCCUCAUGUGGGUAAAAAAAGGUUCAAUUCCUUUGUUCGGCU
rnacentral:tRNA from 1 species